GACGAACGCUGGCGGCGUGCUUAACACAUGCAAGUCGAACGGUGAAGCGCCUUCCUUUUUGGUGGGUGUGGAUGAGUGGCGAACGGGUGAGUAACACGUGAGUAACCUGCCCCCUUCUUCUGGAUAACCGCAUGAAAGUGUGGCUAAUACGGGAUAUUCUGGGUCUGUCGCAUGAUGGGUCUGGGAAAGAUAUUGUUUCGGUGGGGGAUGGGCUCGCGGCCUAUCAGCUUGUUGGUGGGGUGAUGGCCUACCAAGGCGGGGACGGGUAGCCGGCCUGAGAGGGUGGACGGCCAACCGGGGAAGAGACACCGGCCCAGACUGCUAGGGGGGGAGGCGGGGGGGAAUAGUGCAAAAGGGGAGAAAGCCGGAUGCGGCGACGCCGGGUGGGGGAGGGAGGCCUUCGGGUGGUGAACCUUUUUCGCCAGGGAAGGAGGCCUGCCUUUUUUGGGGGUGGGUUGACGGUAGCUGGAUAAGAAGCGCCGGCUAACUACGU
rnacentral:rRNA from 1 species